UACGUAGGGUGCGAGCGUUGUCCGGAUUUAUUGGGCGUAAAGAGCUCGUAGGCGGUUUGUCGCGUCGGCCGUGAAAUCUCCACGCUUAACGUGGAGCGUGCGGUCGAUACGGGCAGACUUGGAGUUCGGUAGGGAGACUGGAAUUCCGGUGUAGCGGUGAAAUGCGCAGAUAUCAGGAGGAACACCGGUGGCGAAGGCGGGUCUCUGGGGCCGAUGACUGACGCUGGAGGAGCGAAAGCGUGGGAGCGAACAGG
rnacentral:rRNA from 1 species